rnacentral:rRNA from 1 species
GACGAACGCUGGCGGCGUGCUUAACACAUGCAAGUCGAACGGUGACCCAGGGCUUGCCCUGGUGAUCAGUGGCGAACGGGUGAGUAACACGUGGGCAACCUGCCCCUGACUUCGGGAUAACUCCUCGAAAGAGGAGCUAAUACCGGAUACGACCACUUCGGACAUCCGAUGGUGGUGGAAAGUUUUUCGGUCAGGGAUGGGCCCGCGGCCUAUCAGCUAGUUGGUGGGGUAAUGGCCUACCAAGGCGACGACGGGUAGCCGGCCUGAGAGGGCGACCGGCCACACUGGGACUGAGACACGGCCCAGACUCCUACGGGAGGCAGCAGUGGGGAAUAUUGCGCAAUGGGCGAAAGCCUGACGCAGCGACGCCGCGUGAGGGAUGAAGGCCUCGGGUUGUAAACCGUCUUUCAGCAGGGACGAAGCGAAAGUGACGGUACCUGCAGAAGAAGCACCGGCUAACUACGUGCCAGCAGCCGCGGUAAU